rnacentral:lncRNA from 1 species
AGGGAGGUCAGCUGUCUACCCAGGAAAACUCUAUCAUUACACUACUACUGAAAGGAAUUCUCAGAUCUUGCUCCUACGGGAUGCACUAAAGGCCUUCCAGCAAGUUUCAGAAGGAAAAAAGAGAAAAAGGGAGGAAGAAGGAAGGGGGAAAGCACAGAAGAUAAAUAACAAUGCUGAUAUAAUGAAGACCAUGCUUUUGUUAAUAAUUAAAAUGAAGGCUAAGUGUACACAAGCCUCCUCAUAUCCCUCCUCUAGGGGAGGGCAACAAAGUUGAAAGACAGCAGAGCACCUGGGGACCGUCCAAGAGACAUUAAGUCAUUACUAACCAAGCUGAGGGGAAACAGGAGCAAGACAUCUGACUUUGGUUCCUGAGAGACCUCAGGGUUGCUCUGUUAUUCUAUUCCAGCAGAAGCAGGACCCUGGGUCAAGCACAACUGAGCCCAAGAGGCCCCAAUAGGAUAAGGCAAGCUCAAAUAAAUAGAUGAUCCUGUCACUGAACCUGACAACGUUUUUCCUGGGGUAAGUGACAAAUGCAGUGGAUGAUAUCUUCCCCACCUCCCCUUUUCAUGAGGUGCUGGGGACAAAUAGAGCCCCAUUUCUAUGAGGCAAAUGCCAUACCUCCCAAAGCACACUCCAGUCAUUGAUGGCAUUUUAACUGGUAUCCCCCAAAGCACUGA